UUGGGACUGGAUGAGCUUUAAGGUCCCUUCCAACCCAAACCAUUCUGGGAUUCUAUGAUUCUAUGCAAAGGCGAAGGGCCAGAAGUGAAAUGAGGGCAAGAACUUGGAAAAAAGCUGGGAGAAUGCAGAAUUAAAAUUUUGAACUGAAAAAGCCUGUAGCUAAGUCAAAGACCAUACUGCCAUACAGGAUAGUGAGGGACUGAACUCUUAACACUCACUUUGUUGUUGUUGUUGUUGUUAAAUGUGCUGAAAAAUUUUGAGUUUCCAAACAAGUACUCAGACCUGCAGAGCUCCGAUGAGAAAAGCAUCUCCCUGAGGUGCUCAAAGACAAAGUCACAUCCGAUUCUUUAUGAACUUGGGGUUUGUUAUUGAGGGGGGAAAACCAGAUAUUAAGAAGUGCUGGUCAGGAUGUGCUCCACAGGGGUAGUAAUGUUCACCUUCCUAGAAGAAACCUGUCUUUUUUGGCACAGUUGUGUGCUUGAGUUCUCCUUGGUCCAAGUGGGAUGAGUAUUGUGGUAAUACAUUAUAAUUAUUGUAAACAUUUAUAAUUAUUGUAAACUAACUGUCCUGCUUUACCCAGGCUCUCACAGUGAUUUCUCUGGCAGCCUCCUUCUCCAAGGGUAGAGGCUCAGAAAAAGCCAGGCAGCCCAUCCCCACCGCCCUGGUGUGUGAGACUCCUCAAAAAAAGCUGUGGAAUUUCCUUGCUGCACCAACCUCCCAGGCUGUUCUGGCAGCAGCUUCUCGUCUUUAUUUCUCCACUUAAAUCAGCCAACUCAAGAGAUGGCAGAACAGCUGUUUCACCGCUUUGCAAAGAGUUACGCUCUCCUCCUGCUUGACUGUCGCAGAUUCCACCACCAGGAGGCCCUCAUUAAAGUGCUUGUAGCUAGGCAAAGAAAACACAUGGACUGAGAAUGAGAUGGAGAAACCCAUUCCUACAGGAGUCAUCUGAAACUAAUACUUAUGCCUAUAAAUAGCGAAUUUUUUUUGAGCGCUGUGCAGGCAUCAAUUAAUUCUUGCAGGAAUCCUAAUAUCCAAACCAUCAGUUGUACUGUAAUUUUUGAGGAUAAGGGGGUGUCACAGGUGGUAUUCCUGCAUUGGUAUCACCAAGUGAUAACCAGGGAAGUUCAUGCCUUUGUCUUCUGGAUAGUAAGUUCUUUAAUUAUGUAAUGAAAAUAAUAAAAUAGGAUAAAGCACU